rnacentral:rRNA from 1 species
CCCUUAGAUGUCCUGGGCUGCACGCGCGCUACACUGGAAGUUACGGAUUGAGAUACUACCUUGUCCGAAAUGGUCCGGGUAAUCACCUAAAAGCUUGUCAUAAUUGGAAUGGAUUAUUGUAACUAGUAAUCCUGAACGAGGAAUUCCUAGUAAGUCCCAGUCAACAGCUGGUACUGAUUACGUCCCUGCCCUUUGUACACACCGCCCGUCGCUACUACUGAUUGGACGUUUAAGCAAGAUUUUUAAACACUGACAGUGUGUAGUUCACGCUAUACUACAGUGAGAAGAAGAAGAUCGAGCUUACUUGUCUAGAGAAAGUAAAAGUCGUAACA